rnacentral:misc_RNA from 1 species
GAAAUGCGAUAAUUAAUGUGAAUUGCAGAAUUCAGUGAAUCAUCGAGUCUUUGAACGCACAUUGCGCCCCCUGGUAUUCCGGGGGGCAUGCCUGUCCGAGCGUCAUUGCUGCCCUCAAGCACGGCUUGUGUGUUGGGCUUCCGUCCCUGGCAACGGGGACGGGCCCAAAAGGCAGUGGCGGCACCAUGUCUGGUCCUCGAGCGAAUGGGGCUUUGUCACCCGCUCCCGUAGGUCCAGCUGGCAGCUAGCCUCGCAACCAAUCUUUUUAACCAGGUUGACCUCGGAUCAGGUAGGGAUACCCGCUGAACUUAAGC